rnacentral:rRNA from 1 species
UACGUAGGGUGCGAGCGUUGUCCGGAAUUAUUGGGCGUAAAGAGCUUGUAGGCGGUUUGUCGCGUCUGCUGUGAAAAUCCGGGGCUCAACCCCGGACUUGCAGUGGGUACGGGCAGACUAGAGUGUGGUAGGGGAGACUGGAAUUCCUGGUGUAGCGGUGAAAUGCGCAGAUAUCAGGAGGAACACCGAUGGCGAAGGCAGGUCUCUGGGCCACUACUGACGCUGAGAAGCGAAAGCAUGGGGAGCGAACCGG